GCCAGGCGAGGCCGGAUGGCUUGGCAGGACUGCUGUUCCGUUGUCUCCGUCUGCCCCCUAAAGCUGCACCUGGAAGGAAGAGCCCAGGGAGGCAAGGUUCCACAUUCAGCAAUUUCUUGGAGCCCUGUGACCUGGUUCUGUAAAAUGAGGUUUUUCACUGUUGUCACAUCCUUGAUCUGUCACCAGAGCCCAGCUGGCGGAUAACAGAGCUGGUUUGUCUUUCACCAUCCCUGGCUGUCCACGCUGGGGGAAGUAGGAGGAAGUGGUCAGGAAUACAGACAACAUGUGGUUUAUGGCCACAAAAUUCCCUGCUCCCAAGUGGGCUGGCCAUCAAACAGCUGCCACCCCAGGGUGGGGGUGGGGGCCUGUCUCCCCUCCGCUGUGUUGCAUCUCUGGCUUCUGUCCUUCAUCUUCUUUUGGUUUAUUUCCUCCUCAUGGAGGAACACAUGUUCUAGAAGCUUCCUGGGGUAUGGUGUG